ensembl:lncRNA
AUGGAAAAGGAGGACCAGUAUCUCAGGGGAAGGGAGACAUACAUGCUCUACUCUUCUCCUUUUCAUUCCCUCCUCUGGGAGGAAAAUAUGACUCCAGUGUGGACCCUCUUUCUUCUCACGUCCUGGACAAGACUGUCUUCUCUAGGUCAAGAACUAGGAAAAUCUCCUCAAUCCACUGCCCAGACACCUGUCCUCCAACAGUUUGUGUCAUGGGGAUCCCUGACAUUUGGAAUGAGACAAUUCCCCACAGCCCAGCCUCUGUCUGGGUCAAUUUUCCAUUAUAGUCAGGCUGCCUCUCAGUGUGUAGGACACUGCUGUCUCCUGGCCUGUCCCCUACCCUACAGGGCUUUCAUUCUCAGUCUCCUAUGUGAGUCCCUCCUCUUCCCCCUGGAAUCUUGUUGUUGGAGCGUCCUAAGGAUCAGUGGUGGGCUUCUUGACCCACGUAACAUCUCUUGAUUUUCAUCAGUGGGAUCAAUGGAUGAAAUGCCAUCAACUCCCAAACUAAUCUUCAGCCCAGCUCUCUUGGUUGAACUGUAGACUCUUGCAUCCAAUUUGUUAUUUGAUAACACCACAUGGAUGUAUCAUGUAUGUUGCAGACUUUUUACAUCUCAAGUGGAAACACUGAUUGAUCAUCUCCCCAGAUCCCCUCAUCUACCAGUUUCUUUCUCGGAAUUUCUGUCUCAGUUGAAGAUAACUGCAUCGUUUUCAGUGAAAACCAAAGUGGUUUGACAUAAUCCUUUACCCUUUCAUUCUCUAACAUACUCCAGCUAAUCUAUGGGAAAAGACUGUUGUUUCUGCCUUCAAAACAUGCCUGGAUCUGAUUAUUGAUUCCUGGUUCCCCUACAACUGCCAAGUCUGAGACACCAACACCUCCCACUGGCAGAACUGCAAGAACCUGUCCCUGUGCCGUGCUUCCACCUUCACCAACCACAGCGGCCAGAGUGAUCCUUUUAUGCCAUAAAUCAGGUCCUGCUGCUCUGCUCAGAACCCCGGAGAGUUUCCACAUUUCACGGAGUAAAAGCUGGGAUCCCUACAAUCUCCUGUGCCCUAACGUAAUGUGUCCUCCUGCGCACUUUUCGGGAUACGUCUUCUACUCUUUUGCCUGUCAGUCUCUUCCCUCUAGUUUCCUGACCUUUUACUGUUCCUUGAGGACACCUGGCAUGUGCCUGCCUCAGGGCUACUUUAGUCCCACCCCACCUGCAUGUGCCGGGCUAAGUUCUUCAUCCCCUAUAAGUCUUUGCUCAAAAGUAAUUUUCUCAAGGAUGCCUAUAUAAAAAUGAUUGUCAUAUUAACAUGAACAAAUAACAGAGCAUGGAUUUCUAUCUUAAAUUCUUUAUAAUUUCUUUCCUGCAUUUUAGUACCCUGAAAUACCUUCCCUCCAAGUACUGGGUCUUUCUCAUGACCUAAUAAUCUGAAAAUAUAGUUAAACUGUUGUAAGCAAUAAGGGACAGUUAUGGCUUAAUGAGCAGCUUAUCAGAACUCAGAUGAUGAAAAGAGAAACCAGUUAUACACUCUUUCUCCAUACUCCUCUAUGCUCUAUCUUGGUUCACUUUUCAGGCAUAUGUCCUUUACAUAUUGGCGAGAUGGUUGCAACAGCCCCAAAACCUUAUAUUAUCUCAGAAAUAAGUAGAGGAGAAAAAGUCUUCUGCCUUCUUCCCCCAACAUUCUCCAGCCAAUGUCUGAUUGUUUCGAGGGCCCCUCUCAUAACCCACCAGGACCUCUGAAAUGGGUUGAAUGCUCAGAUUAGGUCAAGUGUGGCCCAAGAAUGCUGGUGGUCUUCAAACCCUUUUUGGGGUAUCCGUGGGGUGUUUCCUUCCCAACCACCCAUUUGUGUGAGGCCAGAUUCUCUCUCUCUUAUUCCAAAUACAGUAUAAUUUUAUUACCUGUAAUUCUCAUGUCUACAUUAGAUCUCUAGAUGCAUUCAUCCAUCAUAGAUAUGAUACAAAGCAGAUCUACUUUGUAUCCUCUGAACUACAUCUCCCCAUUUCCUCCACCAAACCCUCCCUGGUAACUACUGUUUUGUUCUCUAUCUCUGUAUAGUUGUUGUUGUUUUGUUUUGUUUUGUUUUUACAGAUUCCAGAUAUAAGUGAGAUCAUGCAAUUUAUUUUUUCUAUGUCUGAGUUAUUUCCCUUAGCAUAAGUCCAGGCUCGUCCAUGUUUUGACAAAUAGCAAGAUCUUUUUAUUUCUUAGGGCUGAAUAAUUGCACCACAGGUUCUUUAUCCAUUCGACCAGUGACAGGCACUUAGGUUGUUUCCGUAUCUUGGCUAUUGUGGAUAAUGCUGCAGUGAACAUGGGAGUGCAGAUGUCUUUACAGGGUAAUAAUUUCAUUUCCUUUCUGUAUGUACCCAGAGGAAGGAUUGCUGGGGCACACAGUAGUUCUAUUUUUAAUUUCUUUAGAAAUCUCCAUGCUGUUUUCCAUAGCAGCUAUACCAAAUCUGCAUUUCCACUAACAGCACACAAGAGUUCUCUUUUCUCCACAUCCUAGACAACAGUUGUUAUGUUUUGCCUUUUCUUUUCAUUAUUAUACUUUAAGUUCUAGGGUACAUGUGCACAAUGUGCAGGUUUGUUACAUAUGUAUACAUGUGCCAUGUUGGUGUGCUGCACCCAUUAAGUCGUCAUUUACAUUAGAUAUGUUUCCUAAUGCUAUCACUUUCCCCUCCCCCGAACCCACAACAGGCCCUGGUGUGUGAUGUUCCCAUUCCUGUGUCCAAGUGUUCUCAUUGUUCAAUUCCUACCUAUGAGUGAGAACAUGCGGUGUUUGGCUUUUUGUCCUUGCGAUAGUUUGCUGAGAAUGAUGGUUUACAGCUUCAUCCAUGUCCCUACAAAGGACAUGAACUCAUUCUUUUUUGUGGCUGCGUAGUAUUCCAUGGUGUAUAUGUGCCACAUUUUCUUAAUCCAGUCUAUCACUGAUGGACAUUUGGGUUGGUCCCAAGUCUUUGCUAUUGUGAAUAGUGCCACAACAAACAUAUGUGUGCAUGUGUCUUUAUAGCAGCAUGAUUUAUAAUCCUUUGAGUAUCUUCCUAGAAAUGGGAUGGCUGGGUCAGAUGGUAUUUCUAGUUCUAGAUCCUUGAGGAAUCACCACACUGUCUUCCACAAUGGUUGACCUAGUUUGUAGUCCCACCAACAGUGUAAAAGUGUUCCUAUUUCUCCACAUCCUCCCCAGCACCUGUUGUUUCCUGACUUCUUAAUGAUUGCCAUUCUAACUGGUGUGAGAUGGCAUCUCAUUGUGGUUUUGAUUUGCAUUUCUCUGACGGCCAGUGAUGUUGAGCAUUUUUUCAUGUGUCUGUUGGCUGCAUAAAUGUCUUCUUUUGAGAAGUGCCUGUUCAUAUCCUUUGCCCACUUUUUGAUUGGGUUGUUUGAUUUUUUUUCUUGUAAAUUUGUUUAAGUUCUUUGUAGAUUCUGGAUAUUAGCCCUUUGUCAGACGGGUAGAUUGUAAAAAUUUUCUCCCAUUCUGUAGGUUGCCUGUUCACUCUGAUGGUAGUUUCUUUUGAUGUGCAGAAGCUCUUUAGUUUAAUUAGAUCCCAUUUGUCAAUUUUGGCUUUGGUAGCAUUGCUUUUGGUGUUUUAGACAUGAAGUCCUUGCCCAUGCCUAUGUCCUGAAUGGUAUUGCCUAGGCUUUCUUCUAGGGUUUUUAUGGCUUUAGGUCUAAUAUUUAAGUCUUUAAUCCAUCUUGAAUUAAUUUUUGUAUAAGGUGUAAGGAAGAGAUCCAGUUUCGGCUUUCUACAUAUGGCUAGCCAGUUUUCCCAGCAUGAUUUAUUAAAUAGGGAAUCCUUUCCCCAUUUCUUGUUUUUGUCAGAUUUGUCAAAGAUCAGAUGGUUGUAGAUGUGUGGUAUUAUUUCUGAGGUCUCUCUUCUGUUCCAUUGGUCUAUAUCUUUGUUUUGGUACCAGUACCAUGCUGUUUUGGUUACUGUAGCCUUGUAGUAUAGUUUGAAGUCAGGUAGCAUGAUGCCUCCAGCUUUGUUCUUUUGGCUUAGGAUUGUCUUGGAAAUGAGGGCUCUUUUUUGGUUCCAUAUGAAAUUUAAAGUAGUUUUUUUCCAAUUCUGUGAAGAAAGUCAUUGGUAGCUUGAUGGGGAUGGCAUUGAAUGUACAAAUUACCUUGGGCAGUAUGGCUAUUUUCACAAUAUUGAUUCUUCCUAUCCAUGAGCAUGGAAUGUUCUUCCAUUUGUUUGUGUCCUCUUUUAUUUCAUUGAGCAGUGGUUUUUAGUUCUCCUUGAAGAGGUCCUUCACAUCCCUUGUAAGUUGGAUUCUUAGGUAUUUUAUUCUCUUUGAAGCAGUUGUGAAUGGGAGUUCACUCAUGAUUUGGCUCUCUGAUAGUCUAUUAUUGGUGUAUAGAAAUGCUUGUGAUUUUUGCACAUUGAUUUUGUAUCCUGAGACUUUGCUGAAGUUGCUUAUCAGCUUAAGGAGAUUUUGGGCUGAGAUGAUGGGGUUUUCUAAAUAUACAAUCAUGUCAUCUGCAAACAGGGACAAUUUGAUUUCCUCUUUUCCUAACUGAAUACUCUUUAUUUCUUUCUCUGCCUGAUUGUCCUGGCCAGAGCUUCUAACACUAUGUUGAAUGGGAGUGGUGAGAGAGGGCAUCCCUGUCUUGUGCCAGUUUUCAAAAGGAAUGCUUCCAGUUUUUGCCCGUUCAGUAUGAUAUUGCCUGUGAGUUUGUCAUAAAUAGCUCUUAUUAUUUUGAGAUACGUCCCAUAAAUACCUAACUUAACGAGAGUUUUUAGCAUGAAGGGCUGUUGAAUUUUAUCGAAGGCCUUUUCUGCAUCUAUUGAGAUAAUCAUGUGGUUUUUGUCUUUGGUUCUGUUUAUAUGAUGGAUUACAUUUAUUGAUUUGCAUGUGUUGAACCAGCCUUGCAUCCCAGGGAUGAAGCCCACUUGAUCAUGGUGGAUAAGU